CGAGGUAUAGUUCUGUGGCAAAGUGCUUGUCUAGCGUGCAUGAGGUCCUGGGUUCAAUCCCCAGUGCCUUCA
rnacentral:tRNA from 1 species